CCCCUCUACAAAGCGGAUCUCCUUUGAUCUCCAAACACGUGAUUUUUUUUUUUUUUUUUUUUUAGUUUUUUUCUCUCUCUCCCAAAAGGGUUAUAUCCCCACCCACCAAUCUUUCUGACCCUCUCCUUUGCACUCCCCACUCUAGAGUGCCAGCACUCAGUUAAGGAGGCACCGCGGACUUCACUGCGCCGCUGAACGAAAGGAAAAUGGGCGGCUAAAUGUUUGUCAACUCCUAAAUAUGCGCGUCAAAAUGUGAGUUUAUUCACAUGUCUUUCAGUAUGAUCAGGGUGAGGUUGUAUUUUCAGUCACUCUUGCAAACCUGGAUUACAUUGCGGUGCGUUUCACCGAGUUUGACACGUUUUUGGCUGUCGUUCCACCUUAAAACAAACACUUGAGACGCUUCAUGACUUAACCGGGCUAAUUUUUCAAUCUGAUUCCGAUUUUCUCACAUACAGAUUACAAUAGAUAUGAACGAUCAACUUGCUUUUAAAACACUUUCUGUUAACCCUGAUAAAAUCUUUACCUCGUGUUGUUGAUCAGACAGAGAUCAUGGAAAAGUUUUAUUUCAGGAAUACCUGUUAUCAAUAUUUAAUAUGCGGCCAAGCAGGGGCGCUGUAAAGAUUUCUGGGCCACCAGAAACAUAAACACCCCCCCCCCCCCCCCCCCCCCCCCCCACACACACACACACACACACACACACACACACUACAGCCAUGCACAACUGCUAUAACAUGGACUCCAUAACACAAAAGACCCAAUAAAAAGUAUAAAUUACUAUAACUUUGUGUCAUAAUCAUAAUUACAAUUGAAGAAGCUUGAAAUGUUUCCAGCAACAUGUGCAGUCAUAUUUAUUUUUUUCAUACAUUAAGACUUAAUCAACUCCUAGAGAAAUAAAUACUUUCAGCUUUAGGAUGUACAACACAAGCAGACCCCUACACUGAUCUUUCAACACACACAAAUUUAUUUUAUUGUUACUAUUAAUAUUUAAGCAAUUUACAGCUUUAUAAAGCAGCUCCAUCAUCACCACACCUGACCAAUUGUGUGAUAGCAAAAUGCUCAACUGCGCUUAACUACCAUUUGGGAAGCUGAGAGAGUCGGGAUAAAGGAUGGUACUUGAAGAAUCACCACAUCCACAUGCAGAUUGCACAUUGCUGAACAUGAUGAAUUGGUCUCUGGUACUGAGUCUGCUUGUACCUCACAACUAUCCCUGUCAACUGUGUCCAACUACCAUCUUAGUAGCUGGUAGGGUAGGGGUAACAGAUGGUGCUACAUGAGCUUCACAUCUUCAUAAAAACUGCAUCUUGCUGAACAUAAUGGAUUGUUCCACAGCAUUGCGUUUGCCUGUACCAGUCAACUGUCUGUGGCUGUGCUCAGCUACAGUAUGGUUAUUUGGGAGGGUGGCAAUAUCAGAUGGUUUAAGACAGAGUUACACAUCUUCAUGGACACUGCGCAUUGCUGAACAUUAUAGGAAUCUUCACGCAGGAAUACAAUUGAAUCUUUCUUCGCUCCCCUUAAAAACAGACUUCAUCCUGUUUACUGGUACAACUUUUAUUCUGAAUUUCUCAGUAUUUGUCUUAUGAGCCACUGCAAAGUUGUUUUUUAUCACUGAUUUUGAAAUUUGUAGGCUGCAAAUGAGCAAUUUACCCCAAGUUUCCACUAUUAAAUGCCCUUUAUCCUAUUCAAACAUUGAGGGGACCCCUUAAAAUCUCUGUCAAAUCCUUUUUCAUUCAUCCACCAAAACAACAUUUUGUCAUGAGCUGUUGUAGAGCUCAUGAAUUAGAGGCAAUUCACUUGCACAUAUAAUUGCACACCAGUCUAGAUCUCCAAUUAACGGCUGCUUUGGGUUUCAAAGGAGUUGUCAUCAAAACAGGCCUGACAAGCUAAUCAUAGAUCAUUUCAGGCAUUUUACAAACCUCUUAAUGAUUAAAUGUAAUUUGACAUAAUUCCCCUCUGAAAUUAGCGGCAGGAUUGAAACGUUAUAAUGGUGAGUGAGUUUGUGAAUCAUCAUGCAUUCUUUCUUCCAGUAUCUGUCCGUUAAAGAACACUGUUGCUGUUAUUUACUGCAGAGGAAGACGAUUGUCUCUCAGUCAUUGUCCAUGUAGAAUAAAGAGUCUUUUGUGAAUCUUCCUUACUGACCGGUUCCUGGAAGACAUCUUCUGCCUGGUGCCUUUUCUUUCGCUGAUAGACUCUUCUUUAUGGGGCUGCAAAUAAGCACACUGUGUCUUGAAAGGAGCCCAAAAGAACAGAUAAAUACACACUUUAUCUGCUCCCUAUAACAAAAGAUGAUGAUUGAACAAUUCAUACAAAGAACUCUCCGUACUAUGCGAGUGAUGACGAUAUUGUUCUCGCACUGUUCCGACUUUAAUGAAGGCAAAUGGGCUCAAAAGUAACGGUGAUUUCAUGAGCAAUUUGAAGUUUUCACAAAAGUAUUUCAAAAACUAUGAGAAGAACAAGGCAUGAAAUUGAUUAAUGCAACUUUGCAGAGGCCUGUUUCUAAUAUCUAUUCCAAAGAAAACACAUGAAGCUCUGAGAUGAAGGGUGAGCUGUGCACAGUGAUAGAUGUCCAAAAGGGCCCAGAAAGCAAAGCUCUCAUCUUGCUGUCAGCUGUGUGGCAGUGUCAUUAUGAAAACCAACUGUGAGGACGUUUUAGGUCAAGAAUGCAGCAGCCUCCUCUGGAAGAAAGCGUGAUGGUCAACAUAUGUUCGGACUCAAAGGAGGAGGUGGGGGGAAAGUGGAGCAGAGAACAAUUCAAAGCUGAAACUUAAGAAGUUCUUCAGCGCCUGAAGCAUGACUAUAAUUUACAGAUCACAUCGGACGUCACUCUGUUUUUAUGAAUCCUGAUCCACACCACAUGGCCUGUAGCUGUCCUCCACUACUUUCUGUUUCUCACACUCACAUGAAAUGCAUAGACUGUGAGUGAACACAUGAAUAAUAGGACAAUAAUGAAAGUAAAUCAGAUUUAUUUAUCAGUAUACUAAUGGACCACAUAAUAACUUGGGUCAACAAGUUGCAGCGAUACAAUUACUCGAAGAACAUCUUGUCCCUCUUUUAUUGCAAGUCUGCCCUCUGCUGGCAGCUGGAAGUCUCUAAUCCAAAACAGCUGAAACGUCAGCGCUUUCAACUUGUUGGGGAGUUAGUGGGAAUCAUUCAACCCUUUAUAUUUGUUAAAAAUAAAAAAAAAGGACACAAUAGGAUCGAACAUGUGCUGUAUUUCUUGUUUGUCUCCUCUCAAACUGUUCUCUCUCUUUGUGCAGUUGUGUUUCAACAGCAGCUGUGGAUCCUCUCCUGACGCUCGUGUCUCUUUUCACUGAUGUCUAAACUCGGGCCGCCCUGAGAAGAAUCAGCUGUCUGCUUGUUUAAGCUGAGAGGGUGCUGACGAAGAGGACGACUGUGAGAAAUGAUGGCUGGAGCUUUGCAUUUCUCUGUCAUCUCAUGACACAGG
rnacentral:lncRNA from 1 species